rnacentral:rRNA from 1 species
UACGGGGGGGGCAAGCGUUGUUCGGAAUUACUGGGCGUAAAGGGCGCGUAGGCGGGCGGGCAAGUCUCUCGUGAAAGCCCACGGCUCAACCGUGGAAUUGCGGGAGAUACUGCUUGUCUUGAGUCCGGGAGAGGAGGGUGGAAUUCCCAGUGUAGCGGUGAAAUGCGUAGAUAUUGGGAGGAACACCGGUGGCGAAGGCGGCUCUCUGGACCGGUACUGACGCUGAGGCGCGAAAGCUAGGGGAGCAAACGGG